GUGAAACACAGAGAGACAGAGAGACUCGCUGCGCUCCGCCGUGUCUCUCUGUUCGCUCCUGUAAUGUCCACUGUUCCUGUUAAAUUGUUUAAGAUGAAAGUAGCAUGUUGACAUGCAUACUUUACACUAUUCUCAUUUGUUGACUGAGUCAUCUUGUUGCUUCUGUUCUCGCAGUGUUGAUUUUUAGCUGCCCACAGAGAGGUUCUGACCACCUACUCCCGCAAGAUUUGCACUGGGUCCCGCGAGACUCAAACCCAAUGCAGCCCUCUACAACACAGUAAUACCUUCUAAUCUGGAUCCGAAUGUUCUGUAGUAUUUUUGAGACUUAACUUUAAAGUGGUGUUGUGCUUCCAGAUGACUUGCAGGGUUCUAGCUAGCACAAACUUGCGUUACGGCCCGUUACGCUAUAAUUUUGGACCGUUACGCUUAUU